rnacentral:rRNA from 1 species
UGGGGGCAUGCUUAACACGCAAGUCGAACGGCAGCGGGUCCUUCGGGACGCCGGCGAGUGGCGAACGGGUGAGUAAUGCAUCGGAACGUACCCAGUAGUGGGGGAUAACUUACCGAAAGGUAAGCUAAUACCGCAUACGCACUGAGGUGGAAAGCAGGGGACCGCAAGGCCUUGCGCUAUUGGAGCGGCCGAUGUCGGAUUAGCUAGUUGGUGGGGUAAAGGCCUACCAAGGCGACGAUCCGUAGCGGGUCUGAGAGGAUGAUCCGCCACACUGGAACUGAGACACGGUCCAGACUCCUACGGGAGGCAGCAGUGGGGAAUUUUGGACAAUGGGCGCAAGCCUGAUCCAGCCAUGCCGCGUGAGUGAAGAAGGCCUUCGGGUUGUAAAGCUCUUUCGGCCGGGAAGAAAUCGUGGUGGCGAAUACCUGCCAUGGAUGACGGUACCGGACUAAGAAGCACCGGCUAACUACGUGCCAGCAGCCGCGGUAAUACGUAGGGUGCGAGCGUUAAUCGGAAUUACUGGGCGUAAAGCGUGCGCAGGCGGUUGUGUAAGACAGGCGUGAAAUCCCCGGGCUCAACCUGGGAACUGCGCUUGUGACUGCACGGCUAGAGUACGGCAGAGGGGGGUGGAAUUCCACGUGUAGCAGUGAAAUGCGUAGAGAUGUGGAGGAACACCGAUGGCGAAGGCAGCCCCCUGGGUCGAUACUGACGCUCAUGCACGAAAGCGUGGGGAGCAAACAGGAUUGGAUACCCUGGUAGUCCACGCCCUAAACGAUGUCGACUAGUUGUUGGAGGGGUAAAACCCUUUAGUAACGUAGCUAACGCGUGAAGUCGACCGCCUGGGGAGUACGGCCGCAAGGUUAAAACUCAAAGGAAUUGACGGGGACCCGCACAAGCGGUGGAUGAUGUGGAUUAAUUCGAUGCAACGCGAAAACCUUACCUACCCCUGACCAUGCCAGAACUUGCCCGAGAAGGCUUGGUGCCCGCAAGGGAACCCGGACCCCGGUGCCGCCUGGCUUUUGUCAACUUGUGUUGUGAGAAGUUGGGUUAAGUUCCGCAACGAGCGCCACCCUUGUCCUUAGUUGCCCUCCUUUGGUUGGGCCCUUUAAUGAGGCUUCCGGUGACAAACCGGAGGAAGGUGGGGAAGGCGUCAAGUCCUCCUGGCCCUUAUGGGUAGGGCUUCCCCCGUCCUUCCAUGGUUGGUACCGAGGGUUGCCCAACCGCGAGGGGGAACCCAUUUUAGAAAACCGAUUGUAGUUCGGAAUGCCGUUUGCAACUUGGCUGCCGAAGUUGGGAUCG